rnacentral:rRNA from 1 species
CAUCCUACGGGAGGCAGCAGUAGGGAAUCUUCCACAAUGGACGAAAGUCUGGUGGAGCAACACCGCGUGAGUGAAGAAGGGUUUCGGCUCGUAAAGCUCUGUUGGUAGUGAAGAAAGAUAGAGGUAGUAACUGGCCUUUAUUUGACGGUAAUUACUUAGAAAGUCACGGCUAACUACGUGCCAGCAGCCGCGGUAAUACGUAGGUGGCAAGCGUUGUCCGGAUUUAUUGGGCGUAAAGCGAGUGCAGGCGGUUCAAUAAGUCUGAUGUGAAAGCCUUUCGCUCAACCGGAGAAUUUCA